rnacentral:rRNA from 1 species
CGGGUGAGUAAUGUAUCGGAACGUGCCCAGUAGUGGGGGAUAACUACUCGAAAGAAUAGCUAAUACCGCAUGAGAACUGAGGUUGAAAGCGGGGGACCUUCGGGCCUCGCGCUACUGGAGCGGCUGAUAUCAGAUUAGGUAGUUGGUGGGGUAAAGGCUUACCAAGCCUGCGAUCUGUAGCUGGUCGGAGAGGACGACCAGCCACACUGGGACUGAGACACGGCCCAG